rnacentral:tRNA from 1 species
AGAGAUUUAGGUUAGUAUUGUAGACCAAGAGCCUUCAAAGCCCUAAGCAAAAGUGAAAAUCUUUUAAUCUCUG